AGAUUAAGGAAGAGUUCAGAAGAAUUACAACUGUUGCUCUUGAGUCCACCUUUAUGCAUAAGCUGGAUGAAUAUACACCAAAACUAUUGGACUUGUUUAAGUCAAAAGGAGGAGCAGUAAAGGCGGACAUGCAGAAAAUCCUUGAAGUUCUGUGCAGGUGCAACACCAUCCAGGAAAGAAGAGACAGUGUGAUCCGUGGCUUGAUCAUAAACCUCGGCGAGAGGGUUGAAGACUUGAUCACAGAAUACAAGGAUGCUGACGACACCAUGAUCCGAGAGGACCUCGUUCAGCAUGUGAGGAAGGUGUUCACUGUGAAGGAUCUGCACCAGAAUAUAGAGAAUGGAAUCUGCAUCGAAGGAGCAGAGGUCCUGGCUGGUAUUCCCAGUGUUACAGUCAUGUACGUUGCUUAUGGGCCUCAUCUAUGGCUUAAAUCUAAGGUACAAAGAACUGAAAUAUACCUUUGAGGUGGUCCAAAAUGUAUUCUUGGAACUUGAUGAUCACAGGACCUCCCCACGGGUCCAAGAUAUCUAUGAGAACUCUCAAAGGGCCACUCACAAACUGUGGUCUAAACCCUACGCAGUAAGCUGAAAAGCUAGUUGCUAGGUGGUAUAGAAGCUGCAGUUUACAUUAUGCUCUUUGUUAGGUGAAGUCCUAAGAGACAUUGUCAAUUCCUGUUUUAAAAAACAGCUUUGUUUUAAAACUUACUCCACAUGCACUAGUGGAUAUCUGAGAUUAAUUGUCAGGUGCAAGCUAUCUGGAUGCAACUUUACCUAAGGAAGCAAGGUGGAGUUAUACCCAGAAUGCUUAUACCUGCCAAAAUAAUAUGUCCAUAUGGGCUUCACUAGUGCAUAUGGAGUCAGGUUUAAGGGAGAAUUUGGCAUAUAAUUUGUAACAAUAUGUGCAAUGUAUGUUUUGAAAACCCUUGUUUUGAUUAAUCUUAAACAGUUUGAAUGAGGUUGUAUUUUAGUUAAAGUUCAUAUUGUGCUUUGUGUAAAGUCUAUAAAGACAAAUGGUUAAUUAACAUUUCUGUUAAAAUAUUGCUUUGGUGUUAAGGGGCACACAGACCGCCAGAAAAUUAUUGCCAAAAUGUACAAGAUGUGAGGUCAAAGUGCUAAUCCCAAACUAUCACCUAAACUUUAUGAAGUUGUUAUGAAGAUCUAAAAUGAUUUGUAGUCAGGUGCAAGCUAUCUUGAUAUAACUUUACCUAAGGAGGCAAGGUGUAGUUAUACCUAGAAUGCUUACAGAUUACAAAAUACGAUUGCCUUAAGGAGUAGGGCUUAAGGGGAAAUUUGAGAUUGAAGUUUGAAGAAAUUAUAAAAUUAUAUUAAAAAAAAAUCAAAAUAAAGGUGUGG